UGCAGUCGAGCGGUAGAGAGAAGCUUGCUUCUCUUGAGAGCGGCGGACGGGUGAGUAAUGCCUAGGAAUCUGCCUGGUAGUGGGGGAUAACGUUCGGAAACGGACGCUAAUACCGCAUACGUCCUACGGGAGAAAGCAGGGGACCUUCGGGCCUUGCGCUAUCAGAUGAGCCUAGGUCGGAUUAGCUAGUUGGUGAGGUAAUGGCUCACCAAGGCGACGAUCCGUAACUGGUCUGAGAGGAUGAUCAGUCACACUGGAACUGAGACACGGUCCAGACUCCUACGGGAGGCAGCAGUGGGGAAUAUUGGACAAUGGGCGAAAGCCUGAUCCAGCCAUGCCGCGUGUGUGAAGAAGGUCUUCGGAUUGUAAAGCACUUUAAGUUGGGAGGAAGGGCAUUAACCUAAUACGUUAGUGUUUUGACGUUACCGACAGAAUAAGCACCGGCUAACUCUGUGCCAGCAGCCGCGGUAAUACAGAGGGUGCAAGCGUUAAUCGGAAUUACUGGGCGUAAAGCGCGCGUAGGUGGUUUGUUAAGUUGGAUGUGAAAUCCCCGGGCUCAACCUGGGAACUGCAUUCAAAACUGACUGACUAGAGUAUGGUAGAGGGUGGUGGAAUUUCCUGUGUAGCGGUGAAAUGCGUAGAUAUAGGAAGGAACACCAGUGGCGAAGGCGACCACCUGGACUAAUACUGACACUGAGGUGCGAAAGCGUGGGGAGCAAACAGGAUUAGAUACCCUGGUAGUCCACGCCGUAAACGAUGUCAACUAGCCGUUGGGAGCCUUGAGCUCUUAGUGGCGCAGCUAACGCAUUAAGUUGACCGCCUGGGGAGUACGGCCGCAAGGUUAAAACUCAAAUGAAUUGACGGGGGCCCGCACAAGCGGUGGAGCAUGU
rnacentral:rRNA from 1 species